rnacentral:tRNA from 1 species
UGGGCAGUAGCUAAGUCGUAGAGCUUCCGCUCCAUAUGCGGGAAGACCUGGGUUCGAUUCCCGGCUGCUUAC